CACAAAGCAUCGCCUCUGUCACAAUCUGUUCACUGAAGUAGUCACUCAUCAUUUCAGAUGAGAUGACUCGGCAUAGACUCUUCAGGCAGUCCCUUUCCCCCCAGGGCAGGGACUCAGCUGCACCACACUUCCCUGGCAGUCACCGAGCUUGGACCACUGGAUGUGGGUGAAGAUGCAGGAGCAGUGUAUGGAAAGGGAGAACCCAGUCGUCAUGCUGCAAGAAAACCCAGGCAGCCCUGCAGAGGCACCUCUGUGAAACCAACAGCCAGUGGCCAACUCAGAGUGAGCCAUCUUGGAAGUGGAUCCUUUGGUCCCAGUUGACACUGAAGCAGAGACGAGGUGUACCUGCUAGACUCCUCCCAAAGUACAGAAUGGGCAGGGACUCAGCUGCACCACACUUCCCUGGCAGUCACUGAGCCUGGACCACUGAUGUGGGUGAAGAUGCAGGAGCAGUGUAUGGAAAGGGAGCCGCAGGAAACAUCUAGUCUGCCCCAUCUCGUUGCCGACGCUCCCUGAGCUCUGAUCGGUCUGCAAAACAACUUCUGCUCCGGAAACUCUUUUCUCAGAAACACCUGCGAGAGGGCCCUGUAACUGUGACUCAGCUAAUGACAUAUAUAACCCAAAGUCACACUGGAGACAUUGGCCCUUUUCUUUGAAGAAAUAAAUCAGCCUUCAGUAGUGACCUAGAUCCAAUUUCAAAAUUUCCAACUAAUUUUGGUCCAUGUACCAGAACUGUCCUAUUAUGAACCCAGAGCAAGGAGCUGCUCCACAGAAAAGGUAUUUACUCAAGAAAAAUGAAAGCAUCUGGGAGGAGAAGAGACUGAGCCUACCAGAGGGAAACUGAGACCACCCAAAGGCCCACAGGGCUAAUUCGAGAAACAAAUCAAAGCACACCUGAUGGAGGCUCCAAAACAUCACUACGAGUAGGGAAAUAAAAUAACCAAAGUCACAACAAUAGAGAGCAAAAACCACCUCCUGAACGGCAGGCUGUGGGCAGUGUAGGACUUCCCUUUAAUAUAGUAGUGCUCGCAGGUGCAGAGCACAUAACAAGCUUUUAAAACUCACAGGGGACAGAAAACUACCCAAAAAAAAGACAAAACGGAAGAA